UACGAAGGGGGCUAGCGUUGCUCGGAAUCACUGGGCGUAAAGGGUGCGUAGGCGGGUCUUUAAGUCAGGGGUGAAAUCCUGGAGCUCAACUCCAGAACUGCCUUUGAUACUGAAGAUCUUGAGUUCGGGAGAGGUGAGUGGAACUGCGAGUGUAGAGGUGAAAUUCGUAGAUAUUGGGAAGAACACCGGUGGCGAAGGCGGCGACCUGGUCCGACACUGACGCUGAGGCGCGAAAGCGUGGGGAGCAAACAGG
rnacentral:rRNA from 1 species